rnacentral:lncRNA from 1 species
GUAUCAUUGAGUCCAUAAAGAAAGAGGAGGAUAUGAGAGACAUUUCACAAAUAGAAUACAAGUAACGUGAUAAUUCAUUAAGUAUGGAGGGUAACGUUUGCUGAGGUUCCCCAAAUUACUCCCAAGUUUUUAUGCUGUGUGACUUGGGCAUGGUGGUGCCUCAUAAGUUGUGCCCUACUUCCAUAUCUGAGGGAGAAAGGACUCGGAUGUGUUGCACUUGCCAAUUUCUGUGGUGUAAAUACUCUCACUGGGGCCAUUUUCGCCUGUCACCAGCAGGUGGCAGUGAACUUGGAGUUGGGAAGAGGUGCACAGGAUCAUUUCACAGGCUGGGUGGAACCAGCUCCAGCACACCCCCAAGUCCAGUGGGUGAUGGAGAAAGAUACCAGAUCUGAAUGGCUCUUCAAUGGAACAUCCUUGUGGAGAGAAUCCAGCAGGCACUGGAGAUGUAGAGCUGGCACUUGGGAGGAAGGAUGGGCAGACAUAGAUGGAAAUCAUCAGUAAGUGAGGAGGGGGUGGAAGGAGA